UUACUUUAGGGUAUUUAAUGCGAAAUUAUAAAUCAUGUGGAACUUGCGGAGGAUCCCGCCGUUUUGGUAUAAGUUACCUGCGACAGAAAUCUGUUCUCUUUAACUCGGAGCUCCGUUCCCGGUCUUCCAUGGCAGCGAGGCGGUUUCUCUCUCUCGCUUUUCGUCAUCGGUUACAGACCUCUCCUUCGCUCGAAAGCACUUGCCCAAUUCACUCAUUUGCAAAUUCAUGGUUCUUGACUGGGCACAAAUUUACGAGAAGAGAAAACCACACUGAGGCAACUCCAGCAAUUGCUGAGGAUUCUAAAGACAAUGAAGACAAUAAGUUGAGGCCUAUUUCCGAUUUGGGCAAACCCCUUCAUGAAAACAAGGACGAUACUUCUUCUGUGAAGUACUCUGUUCUCUCCAAUUUAAAACCAUCCCCUAGGCAUGACCUUGCCAUGAUAUUCACUUGCAAAGUCUGCGAGACAAGAUCAAUCAAGACAGUUUGCCGUGAAUCAUAUGAGAAGGGUGUGGUGGUGGCACGUUGCGGUGGAUGCAACAAUUUACACCUGAUUGCUGACCAUCUUGGUUGGUUUGGCGAGCCUGGCAGUGUGGAAGACUUCCUGGCUGCUCGUGGUGAGGAAGUUCGCAAAGGUUCUCUCGAUUCACUAAGCUUAACUCUUGAAGAUUUGGCUGGAAAGACAUCCUGAAACGGUUUUGGUUUCUCUGGUUUGAAAUUAGAAGCUACUUUCUAUAUUCGAUGUUCGGAUAAAAGAUAUUUCAAGGUUAGUUUUUGCUGUGAAAUUGAUAAGAAAGAGCACCUGCUGGGAGAAGUUCGGGGAUUUGGGGCUGCCUGAAGUACGUACUGCUCCCUUUAAGAAUUCAAUCAAACAACUCGGAUGACCGUCACAAUGGGCUAUAUAGAUGACUGCAGAUGUCUUUGAAUAUAUCUAUUAUAUAAGCAAUUUGUGUAAUAUUUGUGAAAGUCAAUACUGUUCUAAGUUUGGCUUUAAUUAGAAGAAGAAAACAGGCAUUUACUCUUCCUGAGGCUUAUAUAUUCAUAUGUUAUCUAAAUGAAUAUAUAUAAUUCUUAUUUUAACAUAAUUGCUA